rnacentral:rRNA from 1 species
UGGGGAAUUUUGGACAAUGGACGCAAGUCUGAUCCAGCCAUGCCGCGUGCGGGAAGAAGGCCUUCGGGUUGUAAACCGCUUUUGUCAGGGAAGAAACGAGUUUCUCUAAUACAGAGACUUAAUGACGGUACCUGAAGAAUAAGCACCGGCUAACUACGUGCCAGCAGCCGCGGUAAUACGUAGGGUGCAAGCGUUAAUCGGAAUUACUGGGCGUAAAGCGUGCGCAGGCGGUUAUAUAAGACAGAUGUGAAAUCCCCAGGCUCAACCUGGGAACUGCCUUUGUGACUGCAUAGCUAGAGUACGGUAGAGGGGGAUGGAAUUCCGCGUGUAGCAGUGAAAUGCGUAGAUAUGCGGAGGAACACCGAUGGCGAAGGCAAUCCCCUGGACCUGUACUGACGCUCAUGCACGAAAGCGUGGGGAGCAAGCA